UACGUAGGGAGCAAGCGUUGUCCGGAAUCAUUGGGCGUAAAGCGCGCGUAGGUGGCUUCGUAAGUCCGUUGUGAAAGUCAAAGGCUCAACCUUUGAAAGCCGAUGGAUACUGUGGAGCUAGAGUACGGAAGAGGCGAGUGGAAUUCCUGGUGUAGCGGUGGAAUGCGCAGAUAUCAGGAGGAACACCAAUAGCGAAGGCAGCUCGCUGGGACGUUACUGACACUGAGGCGCGAAAGCGUGGGGAGCAAACAGG
rnacentral:rRNA from 1 species